rfam:Sulfolobales archaeon AZ1 contig04, whole genome shotgun sequence.
GCGGGGAUGCCCGAGCAUGGUCAAAGGGGGUAGGUUCAGGCCCUACUGGCGAAGGCCUGCGUGGGUUCGAGUCCCACUCCCCGCA